AUGUAAAAUACCGCCAAGUGACUGGGGCUUGUGAUGUAUUCCCUGAAGAUGUCGAUGCUGCCUUUAGUGCUCGGACUUGGGGUUACUGACAGAGGUCGCCAGUUACAGAUACCCGGUAGACAUGAGGGUUCCACCUGUGGCACACAGAAGUCGCUCCACAGUUGAUGACAGCAAGUGAACUCGAAAUAUUGAAAAAAAAAACGAAGAUCGAGUUGUUUAUUGGAUUGGAAAAAAGAUUGAUCGAUUGUUCUCAACAAUUUGUCUGUCUCACUGACCCAGAAAUCUUAAUUUUCAUUGGGUAAUGAGUAGAACAAAAUGGCGAAUGAGUCAAUAGCUUCUUCGGCCUCGUUUUUCGAGCCCUCGAUGAAAUAUUCAGAAGAAAAAACUCACAUGCUUUAUCAACAUGUGAAAAUGAACCUGCAGGACAUAAAUAAAAUGGCCACAGACAUCAACAACAGCAUGACGGACCUGAAAAAAAACAUGUUUGUAACCAUGAAACUCCUGAACGCCCUCAAACCUCGUAAUGAAGAGAAAAACGAUUGAAUGUUUUCACAGUAUUUUAUUUACCGAAGUACAUGACAAGUGAGAAAUAAAAAAAUUUUUUAAACAAU